CUGUGCUUUCAGCUUCUUUACAGUGCUGCCUUGUUGCAUUUAUGUCAAGCAGCAUUGUACAGGGCUAUGAAAGAACAG
rnacentral:pre_miRNA from 1 species